AUCCGAUACUGCACCAAACGCCAGACUAAUUUAGUCAGUACUAUCCGUUGACUAUUUAUCUUAUCCGACAGAAAUAAUCAGUACAGUUCGAGUUGACAAACGAGACCUAAGGUUCAGAUAUUUACUAAAGUAAUAAUUUAACUAAGUCACCAACCAUUUGUUUAGAAUUGAAGUGGUGGGUGGGAUUGUGCGAGUCGAAGCACAUACAAGAGGGUGCCAAAUUAUAUGACUAGGUUUUGCAGUCAAAACGACAGCUAAGCUGCUGCUAGAGUACCAUUCAAUAUGACAUGCACAGUUCCACAUGCCUGUAAUUUUUUUGGCUUGAAAUGCCACACCACAUUCCCAGUUUCGCACAGCAAUCCCAUGGCCAUUGGGCCCAGCCCAGGGAGAGAUUUUUUUUAACGGGAUUCUGUUGCGCAAUGUUAAUAUUUUACGUAUUAUAAUAUAAAUAAAUGACAUAAAAGUAAUAAGGAUAAUGUAAUUGUAUUAGAAAACAGGCGAAUAACAGUUAAUACGACAUGAAACUAUAGUAUUAAUAAAAGAAAAACUAAUGAAAAUGUCGUGAAAAUUUUGAGUUUUAACGAUAAAUACAAAAUAAAGGGUAAAGUGAUUAGUACCAUAAUUGAUUUUUUAGUGUAAAAAUAUGUUUUUUCGUUAAAGUGAACAGUACUUGAAGCUUUUCGUUAAAGUUUCCAUUAAUAAUAUGAUGUAACAGUCGGACUAUAGUUUCAUGGCGUAUUAAUUGUUAUUUUGUGGCUGGGUUUGGCUUAGUUCAUCGGAUGCGCCUAUGGCAGGUUGACUUUUGUCAAAGGGUUUGGGAUUUUAUGACUGGAUUCAGAUGUGGUUCUUUAACUUCCGACUAAUUGUUUUUUAAUGCGAUUUCGCUUCUUUCCUUUGACUUGGCUUU
rnacentral:lncRNA from 1 species